rnacentral:tRNA from 1 species
UGGGCCUAUAGCUCAGCAUGGAUAGAGUGUUGGACUUCUAAUCCAAUGGCCAAGGGAUCGAAGCCCUUUGGGCCCAUUUA